AUGAAAUGUGUCCUCUAUCCGGCUCGAAUGGACCAUGAAAUGUACACGACCCGGUCUGUAUGGCUGUUUCCGAGUCGUGUAAUAAUAUUUUCUGCUGUCUGUUUGUGCGCUGGUAGAAGACGGCUGUUUCU
rnacentral:pre_miRNA from 1 species